rnacentral:rRNA from 1 species
GACAGAGGAGCCAAGCGUUGUCCGGACUGACUGGGCGUAAAGCGCCCGCAGGCGGCCGUGCACGUGGGGUGUGAAAGCGCUCGGCUUAACUGAGCGAGGCCAUCCCAUACGGCGCGGCUCGAGCCGUCCAGAGGCCGGUGGAAUUGCCGGUGUAGUGGUGAAAUGCGCAGAUAUCGGGAGGAACACCGGUGGCGAAGGCGGUUCUCUGGGCCUUACCUGACGCUGAGGAGCGAAAGCGUGGGGAGCGAACAGG